rnacentral:rRNA from 1 species
GAUGAACGCUGGCGGCGUGCCUAAUACAUGCAAGUCGAGCGAACGGACGAGAAGCUUGCUUCUCUGAUGUUAGCGGCGGACGGGUGAGUAACACGUGGAUAACCUACCUAUAAGACUGGGAUAACUUCGGGAAACCGGAGCUAAUACCGGAUAAUAUUUUGAACCGCAUGGUUCAAAAGUAAAAGACGGUCUUGCUGUCACUUAUAGAUGGAUCCGCGCUGCAUUAGCUAGUUGGUAAGGUAACGGCUUACCAAGGCAACGAUGCAUAGCCGACCUGAGAGGGUGAUCGGCCACACUGGAACUGAGACACGGUCCAGACUCCUAUGGGAGGCAGCAGUAGGGAAUCUUCCGCAAUGGGCGAAAGCCUGACGGAGCAACGCCGCGUGAGUGAUGAAGGUCUUCGGAUCGUAAAACUCUGUUAUUAGGGAAGAACAUAUGUGUAAGUAACUGUGCACAUCUUGACGGUACCUAAUCAGAAAGCCACGGCUAACUACGUG